rnacentral:rRNA from 1 species
GACGAACGCUGGCGGCGUGCCUAAUACAUGCAAGUUGAGCGCUGAAGGUUGGUACUUGUACCAACUGGAUGAGCAGCGAACGGGUGAGUAACGCGUGGGGAAUCUGCCUUUGAGCGGGGGACAACAUUUGGAAACGAAUGCUAAUACCGCAUAAAAACUUUAAACACAAGUUUUAAGUUUGAAAGAUGCAAUUGCAUCACUCAAAGAUGAUCCCGCGUUGUAUUAGCUAGUUGGUGAGGUAAAGGCUCACCAAGGCGAUGAUACAUAGCCGACCUGAGAGGGUGAUCGGCCACAUUGGGACUGAGACACGGCCCAAACUCCUACGGGAGGCAGCAGUAGGGAAUCUUCGGCAAUGGACGAAAGUCUGACCGAGCAACGCCGCGUGAGUGAAGAAGGUUUUCGGAUCGUAAAACUCUGUUGGUAGAGAAGAACGUUGGUGAGAGUGGAAAGCUCAUCAAGUGACGGUAACUACCCAGAAAGGGACGGCUAACUACGUGCCAGCAGCCGCGGUAAUACGUAGGUCCCGAGCGUUGUCCGGAUUUAUUGGGCGUAAAGCGAGCGCAGGUGGUUUAUUAAGUCUGGUGUAAAAGGCAGUGGCUCAACCAUUGUAUGCAUUGGAAACUGGUAGACUUGAGUGCAGGAGAGGAGAGUGGAAUUCCAUGUGUAGCGGUGAAAUGCGUAGAUAUAUGGAGGAACACCGGUGGCGAAAGCGGCUCUCUGGCCUGUAACUGACACUGAGGCUCGAAAGCGUGGGGAGCAAACAGGAUUAGAUACCCUGGUAGUCCACGCCGUAAACGAUGAGUGCUAGAUGUAGGGAGCUAUAAGUUCUCUGUAUCGCAGCUAACGCAAUAAGCACUCCGCCUGGGGAGUACGACCGCAAGGUUGAAACUCAAAGGAAUUGACGGGGGCCCGCACAAGCGGUGGAGCGUGUGGUUUAAUUCGAAGCAACGCGAAGAACCUUACCAGGUCUUGACAUACUCGUGCUAUUCCUAGAGAUAGGAAGUUCCUUCGGGACACGGGAUACAGGUGGUGCAUGGUUGUCGUCAGCUCGUGUCGUGAGAUGUUGGGUUAAGUCCCGCAACGAGCGCAACCCCUAUUGUUAGUUGCCAUCAUUAAGUUGGGCACUCUAACGAGACUGCCGGUGAUAAACCGGAGGAAGGUGGGGAUGACGUCAAAUCAUCAUGCCCCUUAUGACCUGGGCUACACACGUGCUACAAUGGAUGGUACAACGAGUCGCGAGACAGUGAUGUUUAGCUAAUCUCUUAAAACCAUUCUCAGUUCGGAUUGUAGGCUGCAACUCGCCUACAUGAAGUCGGAAUCGCUAGUAAUCGCGGAUCAGCACGCCGCGGUGAAUACGUUCCCGGGCCU